CCCUCAAUUUUGUCCCUUUAACACAUGUCUUUAAAAUUCGUUUUCAAUGCUCCACAAUAGUUCCUUGGUGGCCCAUGGCUACUCAUACCACUUACCUUUUUCUGAGUCACCUCGGAGAUUUUGGUUGAGAGAUUAUUUGAUCCCUUAUUGUGACCCUUGGCAGCCCUAACUUAGACUUAGGCUUUUCUUGUUUUUUUUUUAGGAUAACUUUUAGAUACACUUGGCCCAUUAGGCACCUCCCUAGGCCCACUUAGUCUCAUCAUAGGCCGUUUAGGCACACUUGGCCCAUUUGGACAUUUUUAGUGUGACUUGUAUGACUUGCAUGGUUACAUGGCUUUUGGGCUCGACUUUUGUUUAUUGGUUUAUUUUUAUUUUAUUUUAUUUUAUUUUAUUAUUCUAUUUUAUUUUAUUUUAUUUUUUUUAGUUUUAGUUUUAUGAUUAUCAUUCACUUUUUAUUGGUUAUUUUCCUCUUUAUAUUAUUUUCCUUAACUUAUUUAUUU
rnacentral:lncRNA from 1 species